rnacentral:tRNA from 1 species
GGGGGUAUAGCUCAAUGGUAAAGCGCCUGUGUAGCUAGCAUGCAUAAGGUUCUGGAUUCAAUACCCAGUACCUCCA